rnacentral:lncRNA from 1 species
UAAAGCAGAAACCAGAGCAGGCUCCUCCUGGAGGCGCCUGUUGCUCUUAAUUUGCAGCAAGAUCUCGGCCCCGAUAUGAAAGCAUGACUUGCAUAUCCAUAGAAAGCUCAGGCAGCCAUGUUGUUGCCUCUAAGUUUUCCCACCUUGAAACAGAUUGUGAACAGUUUGCAAAACCUGUAUAUUCCUCUAAGUUUUCCCACCUUGAAACAGAUUGUGAACAGUUUGCAAAACCUGUAUAUGAUAACUUCGUUCAAUUUUCUAUAUACUGCUGCAAUUUCCAAUUUAGCUGUCUAUAGUUAAUUUUAUCAUACUCGAAUUAACUAACGUAAAUUUGUUUGAUUUUGAUUUCGAUUUUGCGUUUGCUUUUUCUUGAUUAA